rnacentral:rRNA from 1 species
UACGGAGGUGGCAAGCGUUGUUCGGAAUUACUGGGCGUAAAGGGCGCGUAGGCGGCAGGGCAAGUCAGGUGUGAAAGCCCCGGGCUCAACUCGGGAACUGCAUCUGAAACUGCUUUGCUUGGAGUCCUGGAGGGGGUAGUGGAAUUCCCAGUGUAGCGGUGAAAUGCGUAGAUAUUGGGGAGGAACACCGGUGGCGAAGGCGGCUACCUGGACAGUGACUGACGCUGAGGCGCGAAAAGCUAGGGGAGCGAACGGG